UCCUAAAGGGCGGUGAAUAUCGAAUAUCGAACUUUCAUCGCAGCAGUCAGACAACUGUGAAACCAAAACAAAAACAAAAACGGCAAAUGGUUAUGGAAGUUAUAGUUUCUGCAGAAAAUAAUUGUUUGCGCAUUGGAAUAUGUUGGAAUAAAAGAUUAUGUACCAAUCGACCGAAUAUAACAUCCGAUGGGACGCCUUGUGAUAACAACUCGUAUAGCUGUUCUCUCACAGCUUCCAGCUUCUAUGGACUUUGCUCGAGGUCAAUCUGAUUGGCGGUUUCUCUGAGGAAUAGUUGCCAAUCGAUUUCCGGCACCUGUUGGUUCACCGUGAACGGAUGCUGUUGUACCUUGCAAGCUUCCAGCAUGAGGAUAGUGCGUCGCGAAUCGCUCUCGGACAUGGCGGUACUUAUUUUCGCUAGCUCCGAAGAAAUGUGUAAACUUUCUUUUUUCCCGAUUAGUUGAAAUGAAAAUAGUCAGACAACUGUGAAACCAAAACAAAAAAGAACGGCAAAUGGUUAUUGAAGUUAUAGUUUCUGCAGAAAAUUGCCAUGUAAAAUGAUAUAUAUUCUGAUUAAUAAUUUUUCUCAUCGAAUUUUAGUGCUGUAAGCGGUCGCAGGAGGUUAGUCAUCAGAUUCUAAACACCACACAGCAACGACGCGGAUGUGAUGGUUUACCAUUUGGAGAAACGUCGUUUUGUAAACGUAUUUACCGAUGAAGGUUUCGUUAAUGGAUCAUUUUUUUGUUGAAUGUCCGAAUAAUCGCUUCCUGACUACAAAAAACCGACAGGGUGUGGUUCACAUCCACAGGGUGUACAAGGUUUUGAAGGAAAAAUAUUCCUUAUUCGAGGAAACCAUUUAGAAUCUCAUGACAUUAAGCGAAUGAAUUGCCUACAUACGAGUUGUUGGCCACAGCAUCUCAGACGUGCCAAAUGCGGUCAGGUUGACAAGCCUGAAGAGUGGCAAUUUACCGGAAUUUCCCGAUGAUGAAGACAAAUCUUGAAAACAUUACGCUGCCAGCGAUUCUUUAAUGGUUCGAAAUCAAAAUGACGAGGUUCCUUUAUUUAAAGUUAAAUAUUACCAGAACGUGUAGCUGUUAACGUGUAGCGUAGUGAAUAAACAUGAGAUGAACACAAAA